rnacentral:rRNA from 1 species
AGCGUAGGCUGUGCGGUAAGUCAGAUGUGAAAUCCCGGGGCUCAACCCCGGAACUGCAUCCGAUACUGCCGUGCUAGAGGAUUGGAGAGGUAGCUGGAAUUCACGGUGUAGCAGUGAAAUGCGUAGAUAUCGUGAGGAACACCUAUGGCGAAAGCAAGCUACUGGACAACUCCUGACGCUGAGGCUCGAAGGCCAGGGUAGCGAAA